GACGGAGGGUGCUAGCGUUGUUCGGAAUUACUGGGCGUAAAGGGCGCGUAGGCGGCCCUGUCAGUCGGGUGUGAAAGCCCGGGGCUCAACCCCGGAACGGCACCCGAGACGGCGGGGCUGGAGACCGGGAGAGGAGGGUGGAAUAGCCAGUGUAGAGGUGAAAUUCGUAGAUAUUGGCUGGAACACCGGUGGCGAAAGCGGCUCUCUGGCCCGGUUCUGACGCUGAGGCGCGAAAAGCGUGGGGGAGCAAACAGG
rnacentral:rRNA from 1 species